UGACCUCUGGUCUAUCGGCUGUCACGCCAGUGGCACUGUCGAGUAGCUAUGUCGGGAAUGGAUAACCUCUGAAAGCAUCUAAGAGGGAAGCCAACUUCAAGAUGAGGAAUCAUUUGAGGGCCCAGAGAGAUGAUCUGGUUGAUAGGCUUUAGGUGUAAGCACAGUGAUGUGUUCAGCCGAGAAGUACUAAUUACCCGAUCCUAUUAGGAAA
rnacentral:rRNA from 1 species